rnacentral:rRNA from 1 species
AAUAGCGUAUAUUAAAGUUGUUGCAGUUAAAAAGCUCGUAGUUGGAUUUCUGGUGGGAGCGAUCGGUCUGGCGCUUAGCGCGAGUACUUGCAUCGUCUCCGGCCAUCCUUGGGGAGAGUCUGUCUGGCAUUAGGUUGUCGGGCAGAGGAUCCUCAUCGUUUACUGUGAAAAAAUUAGAGUGUUCAAAGCAGGCUUAUGCCGUUGAAUAUAUUAGCAUGGAAUAAUGGAAUAGGACUGCGGUUCUAUUUUGUUGGUUUCUAGGACCGAAGUAAUGAUUAAUAGGGACAGUUGGGGCCGUUUGUAUUUCGUUGUCAGAGGUGAAAUUCUUGGAUUUACGAAAGACAAACUUCUGCGAAAGCAUUCGGCAAGGAUGUUUUCAUUAA